CCGCCUGCGGGGGGGGGAGGCGGUACGAGGGGGCGGAGGAGGGGUAGGGCCGGAGCGGGGGCGGCGGCGGGGAGGAGGACCUGGCCCCCGCCCUGCGGGGAGAAGGGGCGGCCGCCGCCGGCAACCUCGGGCGGAGCGGGACGGGGAAAGCGGCAGGGUGCGCUGACCGCCCUCCUCGUCCGCUUCGCCCAACUUUCCCGCCUCCGGUGUUGGCAGGUAACGUCCCUUCCCUGCCUGCCUCUGGCUGCGCUUCCACCUGUCCCCCGCAUCCCCUCCACUCUACCCCCUUCCCCUCCGCUGUCCCGCGGGCUGGCCCUCGCCCGGACCCUCCGCAGCCAGCUGAGGUGACGGGAAGCACCGCUGCGCCGGUGCCCGCUGACGGCUGGGAGCGCAGACCGGCCCAGGACUGCGACGGGGCUGCGCGCAGCUGUCCGGGCUGCCUGGACACCCCCGGCUUGUGGCUGCGUUUGUCUCCAUCGUCCCCCCUGAAAGCUCGUGAUUUUAGGUUCGUGGUGUCAUUUACGACCUAAAUGAUUUACCUCGGUAUGAAAAUCUUCCACCACUAAAUAGCUGGAACAGGUUAGGGUGUUCUCCCCUUCUUCAAGACAGAGGCGUGAUGUACCUCGGACCCGCCUGUGCAGACUCAGCUUCUUCUCUUCAGGUCACAAGUAUUGUCUCUGCUCUGCUGCUUGCUAAGUCGAUAAAAAUAAAUCAAUAAAUCACACGGCCUUAGUAGUCACCUGCAGAUCAUUCAUUUCUUCGAAGUAGAUUGCUUUAAACUGCAGAUAAGAAUUGUUUCAGUUUUUUCAUUUAAUCCUGUGAAACAAUAUGCUUUCAGAUAUUUGGUGAAUGAAAUUGAUAAGCCACAAUCCUUCUAACUUUGGCCUCUUGAGCUAUCUUUCUAUGAAUUUAAUGUAAAUGAAAGGAAAAUCUCUCACAAUCCAAUAAACUAUAUAGAUAAAAAGGUCAUGACAAUUCAAAUGUCAUUUUUUGACUGUAUAUGUAAAAUAGCAUUGUACAGUCCUAGUAUACAGUGUUGUAUACAGUGUUUCACAUAAAAUAUUAAAUUUUAUUAUAUGUAUAUAUACAUACACACAAAUAAAUAUAUUAUUAUGUAUUUUAUUAAUAAAUAUGCAGUGUUGUAAAGAAAACAAAACACAUCUGAAUUUGGAAUAAACAAAUUUAUUUGUAGUAAUGUAUUACUACAAAUGUAUUUGAAGUAACGUAUUAAGAACAUCCUUAUGUUAACCAUCAUACAAUGUUUUGCAAUGUAAAAAACUGUUAGGUGGGGGUCAAAUUAAGCUGCUAAUAUCAAUGUGUGAAAUAAAUAAAAGGUCUUGGCUCUUUGCGUAAUGUGUGGUUGAGCUGUGGGACUCCUUGCCAAAGGGUGUUGUGGAUCAUAGAUUAAACAGUCCCAUGAAUCACUACAGAUCAGGCUUUGAAGCCUGGGAGCACUACAGUGCCUACAAAAGACCUUUGGAAGACUUUUCUGAAGCAAGAAAUUGCACUGUAAAGUAAAGUUUGAGAAAUUAUACUACCAUACUUAAAAAGAAAAAAACUGUUAUCCACUGUAAAUUUGGUGGCAAAAAUGAGCUUUUAUGAUGGUUUCCUCCUACAAGUCACAGCUAUGUGAGUGACUUGAAAUAUAUUUUUGUUGGCAUAUAUGUUUCCUUAACUGGAAGUUCUUUCUGAAAUAAUUGCUCUGCAAUCCUGUUAAAGAUAAAAGUAUUAAUUUCACUUUGGAUUUUGGUCUGCAGCUUAACUUUCUGACUCUGCACUGAAUACGUAUCUGGAAGUAAAGAGAAGCACCUUUUUGGCAAUGCAACGAACUUCCCAAGGUUGUUUUUACUUCUCUGUGAUGCAGAUGUUGUUUCUCAGAACAGAAGGACAAUUUACAUCUCAUCUCAACAGCUUGCACAGAGGUCUCAGUUCCUUUUCUGUUGUGAAAAGACUUGAAAAAGUCCUUUGCUCCACAGAGCUAAUGUUCUGUUACAAGGUGAGGGAGAGGGUGCAUAAGGCUCUCACCAUAUGCAUACAAUGGAGAUAUGUGAUUUCAUGUUGGAGUUAUGUGGACAGAUGGGCCCUGUCACCUUUAGAGGAGGUUCAGCACAAACUGAAACUGUGUGAGUGCUUUGCUGUAGACUAAGGGACAGUACUUUCCUUCUUAAACUUACAGUCUUCCACAGUUCAUUUACCAAGACUGUAUGAAAGGGAAAUUAUUUACCCCAGAGUAGGCUGCACAGUAUUCAUUUUAUCCUGCUGAGGAGGAUGAUGUGCUCAAUUGACCCUGCUGUGAAAAGUAGAAGUCAUUUUAGGCUCACUUCACUUUGCAAACUCAAGGGAAUAGUUACUAUGACCACCAAUCUAACUUAUAAAUAAUCUGUAGGACACAAGACUGAGAAAAUGAGAUUAAGAGUUGUCAAAUGGAACGAUUAGUUAUUAAUUAUAUCACUCCCUGAACAUUCCCCCAAGUCUCUGGAGAUGCUGCACCUCCUUCUCUUUCAUCACAGAUCAUGUAGAAAUAUGAGCCUUAACUAUUAGUAGCUUCAUCUGGGUCCAAUCCUUCACUACCUUAAAUCUCAUAAAGUAAUUUUCAACUGAGCACAGUGGAUGUAAAAUACUACCUUUCAGAACAUUAUGCUUUCUUUGCAGAAGUAUUAGUGGCUUUUCAAGAUGCAAGGAAGUGGAGAAGCAGGUCAGCUGUCACUAAGAGAGGAUGAUUAGAAAAUGAGGUGUUCUCCAGUUCAUCUAUCCUCUCAGUUUACACAUUUGUUUAUCAUUAAUAAAGACUGCUUAGCAUUUAUUGUCCCCCAAAAACAUCUGGAAGAAUUUUCUAUAUAUUCUUUGUAGGGAUUGUCCUCAUUGCACAAUACAGUGUCUAAAUGAAAUGACCAGCCUAGCUCUAAGGCUGCUGGUUCUGGUAUAAAUAUAGUCUGCAUAUCAGGCAUCAGAGAACUAUAUUAAUGCAGUUAUAUUACUUUUAAUGGUUGAGCUAAUGCGUAUGUUUCUUUGCAGCAUUAGAUAGUACUGUGUAGACAUACCUGUAAAACCUUGUCUGCAUUAAGAAUUUUAUCUAAAUUGUAAUUCAAGUAUCGCUCCUAAUAUGAGUUCCACCUGCACACAAAGUCCAUCAUACUGAUAUUCUCUGCUGUAGAGGUAAAAACUACAGUUAGCAUGAUUUGCCAGCUGCUAACCUAAGUGUUCUUCACUGUGGGUACAGACUAGAUCUGCUUAAGGGUCCCAGUCUUAAAAUGCUUUCCCUUUUCUGUGACUAGAAAGAACAAAGACAUCCCUCCCCAUGCCUUCAGAUAUGAGAAAGUUUAAAGAGUGCAAAGCAUCUUCUGGCACUACACCUCUAGAAAUCUUAGUUUCACUAUCAAACAAGAACAGAGGUGUGUAUACACACAGCUUGAGUGCUGUUUCAAAAUCUGAUUAUUCUUCACUUGAGUUAGUUUAACAUGUUUUCCAAUGCAGAAGAACUCAAGUGAACCCUACAGUAAAAGCAUACUCUAAUACUGAUGUGAUUUUUACAGGUGGUCUUUUUCACUGUAGGGAGGGAGUGGAGGAGGGAGAUCAACAUCUUGGCAAGACAAUUCAGGAGUGCUCCAAGGACAACUAUAACGAAACAGCCUAGGAACAGGAGAGGACACCCAUUGCGAAGGAAUGAUGAAGGCAACUUCCAUCACGUAGAAUUUUCCAUCUUCACAGGAGCUCAGUGACAGAGAGGUGAUUUAGCAGUCUCCAGCAAAGCAGUACAGAACUAGAGUCUGAGAUGUUCAUACUCAUUAAACCAGUAUACUACCUAA